UACGAAGGGGGCUAGCGUUGCUCGGAAUUACUGGGCGUAAAGGGCGCGUAGGCGGCUCUGUUAGUCAGGCGUGAAAGUCCUGGGCUCAACCUGGGAACUGCGCUUGAUACAGCAGGGCUAGAGGAUGGAAGAGGGUCGCGGAAUUCCCAGUGUAGAGGUGAAAUUCGUAGAUAUUGGGAAGAACACCGGUGGCGAAGGCGGCGACCUGGUCCAUUACUGACGCUGAGGCGCGACAGCGUGGGGAGCAAACAGG
rnacentral:rRNA from 1 species